GCAGUCAAGAAUAUUAGUCAAUGCUCGCAAGAGUGAACUAGCUAACUGAAAUUAUAAUUACUCGGGGGACUGAGAGAAGAUGUAAUAACGUAAUGGGCCGUUUACGAUAAAAACGGAAUUAGAAAAAUAUGAUAUGACCAUUACUAUUAGUGCUGUCCAAAUCUGGUGCCAGAAGACUCGGUAAGGCCAGAAGCGCGUACGUUAGUCACAUUAAACAGGCGUAAAGGGUGUGUAGGCGGCUUUUUAAAACCGAUCUUUUAAGUUAACUACUUUAUAAUAACAUCGAAUAUUAUACUGCAAAAAAAAAGAAAGGCGACUAAAAGCUAGAAUCUAAUCGAGGUUAAACAGAAUAAUACUUAGUGUAGGGAUUAAAUCUUUAGAUAUUAAGUGGAAUACUAAUAGGUGUAAGCUUUUAUCCAUUAAUGAUUGACGCUGAGACACGAAGGCGGGAAAAGGAAAUAGGAUUAGAUACCCAAAGUACCUCUCGCUGUCAACGAUGUAUGGUUUUCUAGGUAGUUGUAUAACUGCUAUUGACGCUAACGCUCUAACCAUACCGCCUUGCGAGUACGGUUGCAAAACUGAAACCAAAAAAAUUAGUCGGCCUCGGAGCAAACGAAGUGAAGCAUGUUAUUUAU
rnacentral:rRNA from 1 species